rnacentral:lncRNA from 1 species
ACACAUUUAUUCACUCCAGUUCAUCAUCCAGAUGAAACAGGCCUGACACAACUAAGCAUAGCAGGGUAAAGCACAUCAUGGAUCAAGAAACUACCAGGUAUGCUAGGUUGCAUGGUUUAGCUAUUUACUCUGACAAUGACAGGUCAUGUGGAGGAAUGGGUUCAACUACUAAAGCAAAAAACAUCUAAAAUGAUGUGUCCUAAUGCAAUAAAUGAGAGCAGAAACGAGAACAU